rnacentral:rRNA from 1 species
UACGUAGGGUGCAAGCGUUGUCCGGAAUUAUUGGGUGUAAAGGGCUCGUAGGCGGUUUGUCGCGUCGGGAGUGAAAACUCAGGGCGUUAACCCUGAGCCUGCUUCCGAUACGGGCAGACUAGAGGUAUGCAGGGGAGAACGGAAUUCCUGGUGUAGCGGUGAAAUGCGCAGAUAUGUGGAGGAAUACCGGUGGCGAAGGCGGCCUCCUGGCUUAAUACUGACGCUGAGGAGCGAAAGCGUGGGGAGCAAACAG